rnacentral:rRNA from 1 species
UACGUAGGGUGCGAGCGUUGUCCGGAAUUAUUGGGCGUAAAGGGCUCGUAGGCGGUUUGUCGCGUCGGGAGUGAAAUCCACUGGCUUAACUGGUGGCUUGCUUUCGAUACGGGCAGACUGGAGGUAUGCAGGGGAGAACGGAAUUCCUGGUGUAGCGGUGAAAUGCGCAGAUAUCAGGAGGAACACCGGUGGCGAAGGCGGUUCUCUGGCCUCCCCCUGACGCUGAGGCGCGAAAGCGUGGGGAGCGAACAGG